UACAGGGGGUGCAAACGUUGCUCGGAAUCACUGGGCGUAAAGCGCACGUAGGCGGAUUGCUAAGUCAGGGGUGAAAUCCUGGAGCUCAACUCCAGAACUGCCUUUGAUACUGGCGAUCUUGAGUCCGGGAGAGGUGAGUGGAACUGCGAGUGUAGAGGUGAAAUUCGUAGAUAUUCGCAAGAACACCAGUGGCGAAGGCGGCUCACUGGCCCGGUACUGACGCUGAGGUGCGAAAGCGUGGGGAGCAAACAGG
rnacentral:rRNA from 1 species